CAGCAGCCGCGGUAAUACGUAGGGUGCGAGCGUUAAUCGGAAUUACUGGGCGUAAAGCGUGCGCAGGCGGUUAUAUAAGUCAGAUGUGAAAUCCCCGGGCCCAACCUGGGAACUGCAUUUGAGACUGUAUGGCUAGAGUGUGUCAGAGGGGGGUAGAAUUCCACGUGUAGCAGUGAAAUGCGUAGAUAUGUGGAGGAAUACCGAUGGCGAAGGCAGCCCCCUGGGAUAACACUGACGCUCAUGCACGAAAGCGUGGGGAGCAAACAGGAUUAGAUACCCCUGUAGUCCCUGUCUCUUAUAC
rnacentral:rRNA from 1 species